UAAAGGAAGACAUGGCAAAAGUUUUAUCAAGACCGGUUUUCAGAUCACCACCAUUUAAUGACGGGUUCUUAGCUGCAGCAUUAGCUCUCCCCAGCACUUUUGGCUCUCUCUAAGAAAAUCCUUCUGCACCAGUCUUCUGUCCUGUACCAGUGUGCAAGACUCGCCUGUUACCUUUAUUUCUUUCGCCAAGUUUUCUUUGACGCCGUGGGACCAAAUUAAGUUGUGGGUCCUAAUGCGAUACAGGCAACCACGCAGGGGAUGAAGAAUUUGAUGUAAUGCAACUUUGAAACUAGGAAGUCUAUAUACUGGAUGAGCUUUGCAGGGGAUGAAGUGUUGUAGUAUAAUAUGUCAAAGUCAAUUGCAGAAUUUCAACAUCAGAGUGACAUAGUUCAGGAAAGAGUACAAACAUGGUAGUGUUGUUUGGUUUCCAGAGUACUUCGACUUCGUAAUGGAGAAAUAAGUUCCUGAUGCCCUGGACGUUCAACAUGUAUUUUCGGAAGGUGGAGGGGAUCAUUGUGAAAUAUGAAAAUUUAUGACCAACUUUUUUAGGAGCUUUCAUAUUGGCAUUGGAAGUUAGACUUGCGAAAAUUUAUGGCAUCGCUUGCGAAUGACUGCUUCUGAAGAGCUCGCUUUUCUCAUGCUCUCGCAAUUCAUUCCUUCUAUCUUUACAGUGAUCAGCUAGCUAGUUCAUCAUGUACCUCCCUAAUUGAUCUUAAGUAGCUAGCUCUCUGUAUUGCGCUUUAGAUUCAUUAAAGGAAGUACAGCAGUUUUUGCAAUCUCUUUAUUGUGUAGGUUAAGCCCCAACUGAAGUUGGCGUUGCUUGUCCUGGUUAUUAAAUGAGUUUUGUUUAGUUCAGGUUUGCGGUGCGGUGCUCUUAUUUCUCAGUCAUAUCAUGUUUUACGCAUUAGAUGUUUCUUACCACAUACUGGACCCCUUGAAAUAAGAUAACUGGAGGAGUGGAAGUUGCUGCGUUUCUGUUCAUUGAUGCGGUGAUCAGAAUUGUCUGAAAAGAUUGGGGAAUACUGUUGGGUUAAGCUUCAAUUGCUUGUGAAGCCAAGGAUUACAAUUCGAGCAAAGCUGAACAUUCUUAUUGAGGUAUCUCAACUUAAAAAGUCACCAACAUGUACCAUGCAUCACAUUUGAAAUAUAUGGAUACUCAACAUGUUUGUAUCAUUUUGCUUUUAUGACUUCCUACUUUGACUCAGGGAAACCAUAAUUAAUCAAGAUAAAGAUUCAAGCAUGUGUGUAACACAGUAUCCUGAACAAUAUUUGCACAGAAGCAGACUAGACUUGAUAAUUUCUGGAUUCUGAAUCAUGAGAUUGCAAACAGUUCCAAUUUAAGAAAACUACUCGUUUAAGGCAUUCAUUUCAUGUAAGUACGAGUUUGGAACGCUAUUAAAAACAGCUAAUUAGAAUUCAAGGAAGCCAAAAGGGUUCUUCUGUAAGAUCUUUGAAGAGAGAACUACAUUUGCAUAUUUCCAGUCAGAGUACACUACUCCCUGUACAUGUUUACUGCUUUUGCUGCUCCACCACUAAAAAUCGUGUGGUGAUUCAGUAUAGAAAUCAAAAAGAGUUUUACCAAACUCAGUAAUGCUACUGCUAUCUUUCUACCGUUCAGUUCUUCCCAACUUCUCUGACUGUACCCCUCCGCUGUAACACCCUAAUUCAGUCACGUCUAACUAAUGUCUCGGUUAUCCUAACCUAAAGUAACAUUCUGGCCAUCCUUUUUACAAAAUGCUACAGCUUGAGCCAAGCAAUGCCAAAGCCAGAACCACAGUUACCUUAAUUCUCCUCCAUUACCAAAAUGCACAAACCCAGAAAUGAAAAAAAAAAAAAGGGGAGC